CUCAGGAUGAACGCUAGCGGCAGGCUUAAUACAUGCAAGUCGUGGGGCAGCAUGAGUAGCAAUACUUGAUGGCGACCGGCAAACGGGUGAGGAACACGUACACAACCUUCCUUCAAGCGGGGAAUAGCCCAGAGAAAUUUGGAUUAAUACCCCAUAAUAUAUUUGAUAAGGCAUCUUAUUAAUAUUAAAGCUUCGGCACUUGAUGAUGGGUGUGCGGCUGAUUAGAUAGUUGGCGGGGUAACGGCCCACCAAGUCUACGAUCAGUAGCUGAUGUGAGAGCAUGAUCAGCCACACGGGCACUGAGACACGGGCCCGACUCCUACGGGAGGCAGCAGUAAGGAGUAUUGGACAAUGGACGAAAGUCUGAUCCAGCCAUGCCGCGUGAAGGAUUAAGGUCCUCUGGAUUGUAAACUUCUUUUAUAUGGGACGAAAAAGGGCAUUCUUGUUCACUUGACGGUACCAUAUGAAUAAGCACCGGCUAACUCCGUG
rnacentral:rRNA from 1 species